rnacentral:rRNA from 1 species
AAAGUCCGUAACAAGGUCUCCGUUGGUGAACCAGCGGAGGGAUCAUUACCGAGUGUAAAAACUCCCAAACCAUUGUGAACCUACCACUGUUGCUUCGGCGGCCUCGCCCCGGGCGCGUUCGCGCGGCCCGGACCCAGGCGUCCGCCGGAGGCUCCAAACUCUUGUCUUUUAGUGUAUUUCUGAGUGGCAUAAGCAAAUAAAUCAAAACUUUCAGCAACGGAUCUCUUGGUUCUGGCAUCGAUGAAGAACGCAGCAAAAUGCGAUAAGUAAUGUGAAUUGCAGAAUUCAGUGAAUCAUCGAAUCUUUGAACGCACAUUGCGCCCGCCAGUAUUCUGGCGGGCAUGCCUGUCUGAGCGUCAUUUCAACCCUCAGGACCCGUUCGCGGGACCUGGCGUUGGGGAUCAGCCUGCCCCUGGCGGCGGCUGGCCCUGAAAUCCAGUGGCGGUUCCCUCGCGAACUCCUCCGUGCAGUAAUUAAACCUCUCGCGGCAGGAUANCGGUUGAACCACGCCGUUAAACCCCCCACUUCUCAAGGUUGACCUCAGAUCANGUAGGAAUACCCGCUGAACUUAAGCAUAUCAAUAA